rnacentral:rRNA from 1 species
GUGGGGAAUAUUGGGCAAUGGGGGCAACCCUGACCCAGCGACGCCGCGUGAGGGAAGAAGGCCUUAGGGUCGUAAACCUCUGUUGUGUGGGAAGAAGAGCGUGACGGUACCACACGAGGAAGUCCCGGCUAACUACGUGCCAGCAGCCGCGGUAAUACGUAGGGGACGAGCGUUGUCCGGAUUUACUGGGCGUAAAGGGCGCGUAGGCGGUCAUUUAAGUCAGCUGUGAAAUGGUUUGGCUUAACCGGAUCAUGCGGUUGAAACUGGAUGACUGGAGUGCUGGAGAGGCAAGUGGAAUUCCCAGUGUAGCGGUGAAAUGCGUAGAUAUUGGGAAGAACACCGGUGGCGAAGGCGACUUGCUGGCCAGCAACUGACGCUGAGGCGCGAAAGCCAGGGGAGCAAACGGGAUUAGAUACCCUUGUAGUCC